UUGGCCCCGCUGCCCGUGGUGGUUACCUGGGGCCCCUUUGCCUGUGCGCUGCGUAGAGUUGCCCCUGCUGCCCGUGGUGGUUACCUGGGUGCCCCUUUGCCUCUACCACUACUAAGAGCACUUGCCCCCGCUGCGCGUGGUGGUUACCUGGGGCCCCUUUGCCUGUGCGCUGCGUAGAGUUGCCCCUGCUGCCCGCCGUCUGCGAGUGCCAGGGCAGUGCCGUGGACUGCGACGGCGUCGGACUCCAUGCCGUGCCGAUCGUCGCGCACAACGCCACCCUCAUAUCUCUGAACAGUAACUUCAUCAGUCGCCUGCCGGACUUCUCCUUCCGGGCACACGGUCAGCUGCAGAAGCUGUGCCUGCAGAACAACGCGAUCCGCCAGGUGGGCCUCAACGCACUCCGAGGACUCCACAGCCUCAAGUUCCUGUACCUGAGUGAGAACCACAUCUCAUCGCUAAGAGCCGGAGUGUUCAGGGACCUGGGCCGACUCGAAUGGCUGUGAGGGAC